GACGUAGGUGGCGAACGUUAUCCGGAAUUAUUGGGCGUAAAGGGUGCGUAGGCGGCAUGAUAAGUUAUUGGCGGCAAAUCGAGGCUCAACCUCGUGGAAACUGAUAAUACUGUCUUGCUUGAGUGCAGAAGAGGUUAACGGAACUCCAUGUGGAGCGGUAAAAUGUGUAGAUAUAUGGAAAGAACAUCAAUAACGGCGAAGGCAGUUAACUAUUCUGUUACUGACGUUGAGGCACG
rnacentral:rRNA from 1 species